UACGUAGGGUGCAAGCGUUAAUCGGAAUUACUGGGCGUAAAGCGUGCGCAGGCGGUGAUGUAAGACAGAUGUGAAAUCCCCGGGCUCAACCUGGGAACUGCAUUCGAGACUGCAUUGCUAGAGUAUGGGAGAGGGAAGUGGAAUUUCCGGUGUAGCGGUGAAAUGCGUAGAUAUCGGAAGGAACAUCAGUGGCGAAAGCGACUUCCUGGACCCAAUACUGACGCUCAUGUGCGAAAGCGUGGGGAGCAAACAGG
rnacentral:rRNA from 1 species